rnacentral:rRNA from 1 species
AACGUAGGACGCAAGCGUUAUCCGGAGUUACUGGGCGUAAAGCGCGGGCAGGCGGCUCGAAACGUCUGAUGUGAAAUCUCCUCGCUCAACGGGGAGAGGCCAUGGGAAACGGUCGAGCUGGAGGGCAGUAGAGGUAGGCGGAAUUCCGGGUGGAGUGGUGAAAUGCGUAGAGAUCCGGAGGAACACCAGAGGCGAAGGCGGCCUACUGGGCUGCACCUGACGCUGAGCCGCGAAAGCCAGGGGAGCGAACGGG